GGGUAACGGGGUGUUAGGGCACGACACCGGAGAGGGAGCCUGAGAAACGGCUACCACAUCCAAGGAAGGCAGCAGGCGCGCAAAUUACCCAAUCCCGACAUGGGGAGGUAGUGACAAUAAAUAACAAUACAGGGUUCUUUUGGAUCUUGUAAUUGGAAUGAGUACAAUUUAAAUCUCUUAACGAGGAACAAUUGGAGGGCAAGUCUGGUGCCAGCAGCCGCGGUAAUUCCAGCUCCAAUAGCGUAUAUUAAAGUUGUUGCAGUUAAAAAGCUCGUAGUUGAAUUUCGGGAUCAAGGAAUCGGUCAUGCCUUGGUAUGUACUUGGUUUUAUUGGUUCUCACCUUCUAAAGAACCAUAAUGUCAUUUAUUUGAUGUUAUGGGGAAUUAGGACUGUUACCUUGAAAAAAUUAGAGUGUUUAAAGCAAGCUUACGCUUGAAUACAUUGGCAUGGAAUAAUGAAAUAGGACAUCCGAUUCUAUUUUGUUGGUUUCUAGGAUCGAUGUAAUGAUUAAUAGGGAUAGUUGGGGGCAUUAGUAUUCAAUUGUCAGAGGUGAAAUUCUUGGAUUUAUUGAAGACUAACUACUGCGAAAGCAUUUGCCAAGGAUGUUUUCAUUAAUCAAGAACGAAAGUUAGGGGAUCGAAGACGAUCAGAUACC
rnacentral:rRNA from 1 species